rnacentral:tRNA from 1 species
GGGCAGAUGAAGAUUUAAAGUCAUGCGACAAAUCCGCGACAACAUUGAAAACCGUCUUGAAACCACAUGGAUACUAGGGGUGGACGCGGGUUCGAUUCCCGCCGCCCACCA